rnacentral:tRNA from 1 species
GAGAGGAAAGCAUUAAGAACGCGGCUGACUUGAAAUUAGCAGAUGGCAGCUAAAAUCCGUCUCUUCUCG